UACGUAGGGUGCGAGCGUUAAUCGGAAUUACUGGGCGUAAAGCGUGCGCAGGCGGCGCGUUAAGACAGGUGUGAAAGCCCCGAGCUUAACUUGGGAAUUGCGCUUGUGACUGGCGAGCUGGAGUGCGAGAGAGGGGCGUGGAAUUCCGGGUGUAGUGGUGAAAUGCGUAGAGAUCCGGAGGAACCCCAGAGGCGAAGGCGGCGCCCUGGCUCGCAACUGACGCUCAGACACGACAGCAUGGGGAGCGAACGGG
rnacentral:rRNA from 1 species